rnacentral:tRNA from 1 species
UCCGUUGUAGCACUGGCAAUUUCUAUCUUAAGUAUUGGAAUCCGGGUUCAAAUCCCGGCAGCGGAA